GACGAACGCUGGCGGCGUGCCUAAUACGUGCAAGUAGAACGCUGAAGGAGGAGCUUGCUUCUCCGGAUGAGUUGCGAACGGGUGAGUAACGCGUAGGUAACCUGCCUGGUAGCGGGGGAUAACUAUUGGAAACGAUAGCUAAUACCGCAUAACAGUAGAUGUUGCAUGACAUUUGCUUAAAAGGUGCAAUUGCAUCACUACCAGAUGGACCUGCGUUGUAUUAGCUAGUUGGUGAGGUAACGGCUCACCAAGGCGACGAUACAUAGCCGACCUGAGAGGGUGAUCGGCCACACUGGGACUGAGACACGGCCCAGACUCCUACGGGAGGCAGCAGUAGGGAAUCUUCGGCAAUGGACGGAAGUCUGACCGAGCAACGCCGCGUGAGUGAAGAAGGUUUUCGGAUCGUAAAGCUCUGUUGUAAGAGAAGAACGAGUGUGAGAGUGGAAAGUUCACACUGUGACGGUAUCUUACCAGAAAGGGGCGGCUAACUACGUG
rnacentral:rRNA from 1 species